CCUACGGGAGGCAGCAGUAGGGAAUCUUCCGCAAUGGACGAAAGUCUGACGGAGCAACGCCGCGUGAACGAUGAAGGCCUUCGGGUCGUAAAGUUCUGUUGUUAGGGAAGAACAAGUGUUAGUUGAAUAAGCUGGCACCUUGACGGUACCUAACCAGAAAGCCACGGCUAACUACGUGCCAGCAGCCGCGGUAAUACGUAGGUGGCAAGCGUUGUCCGGAAUUAUUGGGCGUAAAGCGCGCGCAGGCGGUUUCUUAAGUCUGAUGUGAAAGCCCCCGGCUCAACCGGGGAGGGUCAUUGGAAACUGGGAAACUUGAGUGCAGAAGAGGAAAGUGGAAUUCCAAGUGUAGCGGUGAAAUGCGUAGAGAUUUGGAGGAACACCAGUGGCGAAGGCGACUUUCUGGUCUGUAACUGACGCUGAGGCGCGAAAGCGUGGGGAGCAAACAGGAUUAGAUACCCUGGUAGUCCACGCUGUAAACGAUGAGUGCUAAGUGUUAGAGGGUUUCCGCCCUUUAGUGCUGAAGUUAACGCAUUAAGCACUCCGCCUGGGGAGUACGUCGCGAGACNGAACUACAAGAAGUAGACGCGNGAGAGUGCGAGCGACGACGAGGGAGAGG
rnacentral:rRNA from 1 species